rnacentral:rRNA from 1 species
AGUGAACGCUGGCGGUAGGCCUAACACAUGCAAGUCGAACGGCAGCACAGUAAUAGCUUGCUCUUACGGGUGGCGAGUGGCGGACGGGUGAGGAAUACAUCGGAAUCUACUUUUGCGUGGGGGAGAACGUAGGGAAACUUACGCUAAUACCGCAUACGACCUACGGGUGAAAGCAGAGGAUCUUCGGACCUUGCGCGAGUGAAUGAGCCGUUGGCGGAUUAGCUAGUUGGCGGGGUAAAGGCCCACCAAGGCGACGAUCCGUAGCUGGACUGAGAGGAUGAUAAGCCACACUGGAAGUGAGACACGGUCCAGACUCCUACGGGAGGCAGCAGUGGGGAAUAUUGGACAAUGGGCGCAAGCAUGGUCCAGCCAUACCGCGUGGGUGAAGAAGGCCUUCGGGUUGUAAAGACCUUUUGUUGGGAAAGAAAAGCAGCAGGUUAAUACGAAGCUGUUCUGACGGUACCCAAAGAAUAAGCACCGGCUAACUUCGUG